rnacentral:rRNA from 1 species
UACAGAGGGUGCGAGCGUUGUUCGGAAUUAUUGGGCGUAAAGGGCGCGUAGGCGGCGCGGUAAGUCACCUGUGAAAUCCCUCGGCUCAACUGAGGAACUGCCUUUGAAACUGUCUGGCUUGAGGCCGGGAGAGGGUAGCGGAAUUCCCAGUGUAGCGGUGAAAUGCGUAGAUACUGGGAGGAACACCGGUGGCGAAGGCGGCUACCUGGACCGGAACUGACGCUGAGGCGCGAAAGCGUGGGUAGCAAACAGG